GAUGAACGCUAGCGAUAGGCUUAACACAUGCAAGUCGAGGGGCAGCGAGGGUAGCACUCCCUGUCGGCGACCGGCGCACGGGUGAGUAACGCGUAUGUAACCUGCCCGCAACAGGGGGAUAACCCGGCGAAAGUCGGACUAAUACCGCAUAAAACAGGGGUCCCGCAUGGGAAUAUUUGUUAAAGAUUUAUCGGUUGCGGAUGGGCAUGCGUACCAUUAGGUAGUUGGUGAGGUAACGGCUCACCAAGCCUUCGAUGGUUAGGGGUUCUGAGAGGAAGGUCCCCCACACUGGUACUGAGACACGGACCAGACUCCUACGGGAGGCAGCAGUGAGGAAUAUUGGUCAAUGGGCGAGAGCCUGAACCAGCCAAGUCGCGUGAAGGAUGACUGCCCUAUGGGUUGUAAACUUCUUUUACAAGGGAAUAAAAUGAGAUACGUGUAUUUUAUUGCAUGUACCUUGGGAAUAAGCAUCGGCUAACUCCGUG
rnacentral:rRNA from 1 species